rnacentral:lncRNA from 1 species
UCCAUCAUCAUUGCUCUAAUAAGCAUGUCAUUUUGAUUAGCAAUUAUAAUAGAAGAGUUCAGAGAAAGGUUCACAUUAUCCAUAUAAAGUAUGUUGCUCUUCAUCUUCAAUCUCAUCCCUUUGGGAAUUGAGUAAAGUGGUAAUUCUAUUCCACCACCGCCUAAGGACAGUCGACCAGUGGAAUAAUAUUGUAUUAGUAUUUCUCUCUUUUAGCCAAAUGACCCAAGACUUUUACCUCCAUAACACUUCUUGUAAGUGCUAAUUUUUUUGAUAUGAUUGGAGAAAUGCCUAGAGAUGCAUAUGCUUGUGAGCAC